rnacentral:lncRNA from 1 species
AGUCGGCUGUGGCAGCUGGAAGAGAAGGAAUCGGACGGAGAAGAAUGAAAAAUCACUUUGCUUUCGCAAAGCGAAAGAAAAGUAUUCUUUUCCUCAUUAUUUUUAAAUAAAUUUGAUUGUAUAUUUACCUAAUAAAAUAAACAUUCAAUUAAACAAAAAUAAGCAACUAUCAAAGAUUUGUUUACUAAUUUUCGUAAUGUUUACUGUUUCAAUAAGUAGCCAAAGGAAUAUUAAAACACAAAAAUAUGAAUGCUGAUAAUUUUAUGUCAUAAAGACCAUUUUAAAACUAAAAGUGAACAUGGGGUUUCUAAAUAAAAUUACCGUGGUAGCGUAAAAACACUGCUUUCAAUACUUGGGCAUGCUGAAAGUGCUGCAUCCUAAGAUAAAAAAUACACCAAGGGGGGGAUUUCAAAGAACAUUAUUUUGCUUUUAAUAAUCCUGUAUUUCUGUCACUUUGCCCUUUUUAUUUAUUUACCGUGAACUCACAGACAGAAUAUUACUUGGAGUUUCUGAAAUACUUGUGUUUGUACAUUUCUCAUCUUACACGUACCCACACACCCCAAAAUAA